rnacentral:rRNA from 1 species
UACGGGGGGAGCAAGCGUUGUUCGGAUUUACUGGGCGUAAAGGGCGCGUAGGCGGUCAGCACAAGUCAGUUGUGAAAUCUCCGGGCUUAACUCGGAAAGGUCAACUGAUACUGUGCGACUAGAGUGCAGAAGGGGCAACUGGAAUUCUCGGUGUAGCGGUGAAAUGCGUAGAUAUCGGGAGGAACACCAGUGGCGAAGGCGGGCACCUGGGCCGACACUGACGCUGAGGCGCGAAAGCUAGGGGAGCAAACAGG